NUAAGACAUCCUACUCCAGAAGCGAAUAAGGGUCGGGAUCUUGAAGCCCCAAGUCCUAUUCGAAGGGAUUCCUCCAGUCAUGCUGCUACAAAUGCUUUAAAAGAGGCGAAGGCCCUUAAACACACCGCAGAUCGUCUCAAGGUUCAGACAAAUCCUGUUGAAUCUGACGUAGUUAUUGACAUUAUUAUGUUGCCUGUUUCUUUACAUGGUCUUCUAUUGCAGAGUUCUGGAUCAACUGAAAGUACAGGCCUCUAUUUUCAAGCUUCCCUCAAGUUCCUCCAUGGAGCAUCUUUGUUAGAAUCUGUAAACAGUGAGAGCAAGCGUAAUGAGACAAUUCAGUCAACUCAAAUGUAUAGUAGCACGGCAAAGCUCUGCGAGUAAGUUAUAUGCAAAUGAUUUAUCUGAGAUGUCUAUGCUUCAUAUAUUUAAAUUUUUUUAUGCAAUUAUUUUCUCUGUUGAUUUUAUGUUUGAGGAUGAAACUUGUGAGUCUAUAAGUUGUUUCUUUCGCUGGGCGCUUUGUGUUAUUUCUGUGUUCUCUUUUAAUGGAUGAAUGUGAAAAGCCAUUGAAUGUGUGGAAUUUAAAUCUGAUGGUUCAGAUUGUUUGUUUGUAACUUUUAGUAUAAUCUAAUUGCUUCUUUAAUGGAACUUUUAAGGGCUUGUACAGCUCCUUUCAUGUCGAUUAAUUGUUUUCUGUUUAUAGGUUCUGUGCUCGUGAAUAUGAAAAGUUGAAAGACAUGGGAGCUGCUUCUCUGGCCUAUAAAUGCAUGGAGGUCGCAUACAUGAAAGUAAUUUAUUCUUCACGUACUAGUGCAAGCAGGGAUCAGAAUGAGUUGCAAAAUGUUCUACAAAUUGUUCCACCUGGUAAUUUGUGACAACAUAUUCUUAUCAGGAUUUCAGACUAAAUCACACAGUCGGUAUUUAAUUAUAAGAUUAGCCGGCCUGAUUUGAGAUGGACGACAUAACUAAGGAUUACGGCUUUUAACAUAAACCACUUUGUAGCCACAAUUCGAUUGGAAAAUAAUGAUGCUGCUUAAAAUUGAACUAAGUUUGCCUUUAAAUAACAGAAAUUGUUUUAGUUUUAUGUUUCCUUCCGGGGAAAAAAAAAAAAUUGCACUGGACUCUCAAAUGAUGUCUUCACUAGAUGCUAAUCUGUUUUAGCAUUAAUAAACUGCACAAAAAUAAUUGAUAAUGGAAAUGUGUUUCCAAAGACUCCGCUGUGAUAUAAUGGAAUGCUCAAUUUUAUUGUAAUUGUAGCUUCGUAGAAAUUUCUUCGCCAUUUUUUUUUGGUGAAGUGCUUGCUUUUCUUUCAGGAGACAACUUUCACAAUAGUUAUUCUCUUUUAUAAUUUUCAUACUAACAUUUAGGUGAAUCUCCUUCCUCUUCGGCUUCUGAUGUUGACAAUGUGAACAACCAAUCAACUGUAGACAAGGCUGCCUUUGCCAAAGGUGUUAGUUCUCCUCAAGUUGCUGGAAGCAAUGUUAUCACUCUAAGAAAUCGUUCUAGUUUUACGAGGCUACUUGACUAUGUAAGCACAAUUUAUCAUUCAGGUGCACCACGACUUCUCACAGUAAUUUGCAUAAAGAGUACGAUCAAGUAUAUCUUUGAAAUAGUUGAGAUGGUUUCCCUCCAAAUUUUGGAAUAUGAGUAACUUGUUGAGCUUUACCUAACCAUUAGAGGCGGUGUAUGGGCAUAUCUCUCGCAUUGAGGGUGUCCAACAAUAAAUAUGUGCUAUUGUGUGCUUUGCUUGUUUUAUUUUUUGAUUAUGACUUAAUCAAUAAUAAUGAUUCCAAAGCAUUAUGACCAAAUCUGGUUUACAAUUUUCGUACUUCUCGUAGCCAGUAACUUUUAGGGGGUUUUCUGGGCCUCAAUCCUGUCAAGUUCUCAUGCAUCUACUUUAAGUACAAAGUUACAAACCUUCAUACAAUGGCCUGGCACUUCUCUAUGUUUGUUUCUUUCCCUGGGAUAUCUUUUUAGUGAAGGGGGAUGGGGAAAUUUUUGUGUCUUACAUCAAAUUUGUACUUAUUGAGUUUCAAUUUUUAUAGGCACAGGACAUUAGUUUUGCUAUGGAAGCCUCCAGGAAAUCGAGAAUUGCUUUUGCUGCUGCCAAUCCAAGACUUGGAGAAACACAGCAUAGAGAGGGUAUCUCUUCUGUCAAAAAGGCACUUGAUUUUAAUUUCCAAGAUGUGGAUGGAUUAUUACGCCUUGUUCGGGUUGCCAUGGAAGCCAUCAGUCGUUAAACUACCUCUUACACUUCAAAAUAAGCCAAUCCACGGUCUCUCCCCUUUCUCCAUUUCCUAUUUGUCAUUGAAGGAAGAAAAUAGAAAAGGAUCUCUUAUUCACCAAAUUCUACAUUCUAGGAACUCAAUUAAAUUAGCACCAUUGUAUAUCUGUACAGUAAUGGCUUGUUUGGUGGGGUGGAUUUUGUAAGACUCUGGGCAGUAUGAGAGGAAACAAAAAAGCCUAAAAUAUUACCUGUUGUACUGUCGAGUCCAGUACUGUGUACUAUACACGUGUAUUCUUCAAUAUGGCUGCUUGUGGAUGAGAGUACUUGCCUGGAGUUUUUCAAGCACGGUUGAUAUUAUCCUUAAAAGGCUUCUGCAUGAUUUAAUGAUCUACCACAUAACCCAACUAACAAUGAUCACAAAAGUGAUGGGGAAACCUGAUCACUUGAGAUAGUGGAAUUCAAUACCUUCGUCUCCAUUAUUGUUGGGUUGUUGGUGGAGUUCGAACAAUUUUGCCCCCCAAAAAAAUACCUUUUCCUCUAAUCCCGACAGAAUCAAGGAGAAGUUCAUGCCAAGCUCUCAAAUAUAAAUUUGAUCCUAUUGACUCACUGAGUUCCAGCUCAAUCUAAGGCUGACACUGGACUUGCAGUCUCAGGUUAAUUUCCAUGUACAUUUUAUUCUUUGUAUGUGACACAUUUGUACUCUUUAUUUGAUCUGAUCUUAUAUUUUCUGAUUUUAAUGUUUGCAGGUUUUGUCUUACACUUCUCUCACAAUGGAGACAAUUAGCUUCCAUUGUUCAUAAUAAUAAGUAGAAAUAAGUUGCUAAAACGUGGAUGCAGAGCACAAAAUAAAUAAAUAAAAUGUUGUGUUUUAUUGACAUCAAGGGAAGGAUUGAGAUGAUCCCUUCAAAGGUGUGUUAUAUUUACUUUUUGUACAAAGUUGAUUUCUAAGCAAUUAAAGAUAGAAUUUCAUCUGCUGAAGUUCCUCUGGUUUAUGUUGUCAUUUCUGUUAAUACACCUAUCAUAUGAAUUUGAAAUUUCAUCAAGUACAGUUGACAGGUCAUUUGCUAAUUUUCUUCACUGGAUUCUUAAAAUAUGUAUCUGUUGAAUUGGGGAAAGCUUUGAAGUAAAAUGUUCAGCUAAUAUUGGAACCUGUUGUUGGAUUACGUGUUGACUUCAUAUUUGUCCUGAGAAGAGCAAAAAAACCUGGAAUGAUCGGACUCGGCUGUGG
rnacentral:lncRNA from 1 species